GUUUCCGAGGAUGAUCGAGAUGAGAUAACUUUCGUUCUUCCGAGGUUACAUACGAUGCGGAAGAUUUUUGGAGACCUGAACUGAGGAAAC